rnacentral:sRNA from 1 species
CUACGAGUCGGGUUGUUU